AUUGAACGCUGGCGGCAGGCCUAACACAUGCAAGUCGAACGAGUGGCGGACGGGUGAGUAAUGUCUGGGAAACUGCCUGAUGGAGGGGGAUAACUACUGGAAACGGUUGCUAAUACCGCAUACCAUCGGAUGUGCCCAGAUGGGAUUAGCUAGUAGGUGGGGUAACGGCUCCCCUAGGCGACGUUCCCUAGCUGGUCUGAGAGGAGGACCAGCCAGAAUGGGACUGAGAAACGGUCCAGGCUCCUACGGGAGGCAGCAGUGGGGAAUAUUGCCCAAUGGGCGCAAGCCUGAUGCAGCCAUGCCGCGUGUAUGAAGAAGGCCUUCGGGUUGUAAAGUACUUUCAGCGGGGAGGCGUUACCCGCAGAAGAAGCACCGGCUAACUCCGUGCCAGCCGCCGCGGUAAUAC
rnacentral:rRNA from 1 species